rnacentral:rRNA from 1 species
UAGUAUCAGCGUGCCAGCAGCCGCGGUAAGUACGUAGGGUGCAAGCGUUAAUCGGAAUUACUGGGCGUAAAGCGUGCGCAGGCGGUUAAUAUAAGACAGAUGUGAAAUCCCCGGGCUCAACCUGGGAACUGCAUUUGUGACUGUAUAGCUAGAGUACGGUAGAGGGGGAUGGAAUUCCGCGUGUAGCAGUGAAAUGCGUAGAUAUGCGGAGGAACACCGAUGGCGAAGGCAAUCCCCUGGACCUGUACUGACGCUCAUGCACGAAGCGUGGGANCAAACAGGAUUAGAUACCCUGGUACGUCCACGACCCUAAACGAUGUCAACGUGGUUGUUGGGUCUUCAC